GUCAUCAAGGUACCUUGGCUGAUGGCAUGGCAAGUAUAGAACACACAGGCAACAAAUCCGUAGGGACGCCAGGUUCCUCAGUCCUUGCGUUGACGCUGCCCUGUAGUCCACCUGCACAGCCCCUGCUUGACCUUGUCAGCCCUUCUCCUCCUUCGAUCCCGCCGUAAGGAGAACCGCAGGCCUCGCUAUCUCUGAGAACCAUCACGGCCCUUCCCCACAUCCCGGCCACAGCGCUCGUGGCAGUACUGCGAGCGGUGAGCGACUUCCACGCCAUCCAAGUGGCGGGGCCGCCACCAUUCUAAGUCACACUUCCACCUCGGCCUCUCAGCACCGCUCCCCUCCUGCCG
rnacentral:lncRNA from 1 species